UAUUCCCAAACUGGGAAACUGGAAUCACCUGAAGUGAGAUAACUUCUUCAUCCCAACUCCUAUGAGAUUUAUUCAACUUCCUGGUGAUUCUUCACCACUUUAUGUAUCCAAAUCAAGCUUCUUACAAAGUGAUUCAUCCUACUUUGAUUGAAACGACGAAGAAGUUGUCCUAUUCCCAAACUGGGAAACUGGAAUCACCUAAUUUGAAAGUGGGAUACCUUCUUCAUCCCAACUCCUAUGAGAUUUAUUCAACUUCCUAGUCAUUCCCCACCACUUAAUGUAUCCAAAUCAAGCUUCUUACAAAGUUAUUCAUCCUGGUUUGAUUGGAACGACGAAGAAGAUGUUCUAUUCCCAAACUGGGAAACUGGAAUCACAUGAUUUAAAAGUGGAAUAACUUCUUCAUCCCAACUCCUAUGAAAUUUAUUCAACUUCCUGGUCAUUCUCCACCACUUUAUUUAUCAAAAUCAUGCUUCUUACAAAGUGUUUCAUCCUUCUUUGAUUGUAACGACGAAGAAGCUGUCCUAUUCCCAAACUGGGAAACUGGAAUCACCUGAUUUGAAAGUGAGAUAACUUCUUCAUCCCAAAUCCUAUGAGAUUUAUUCAACUUCCUCGUGAUUCUCCACCACUUUAUGUAUCCAAAUCAAGCUUCUUACAAAGUGAUUCAUCCUGCUUUGAUUGAAACGACGAAGAAGUUGUCCUAUUCCCAAACUGGGAAACUGGAAUCACCUAAUUUGAAAGUGGGAUACCUUCUUCAUCCCAACUCCUAUGAGAUUUAUUCAACUUCCUAGUCAUUCCCCACCACUUAAUGUAUCCAAAUCAAGCUUCUUACAAAGUAAUUCAUCCUGGUUUGAUUGGAACGACGAAGAAGAUGUUCUAUUCCCAAACUGGGAAACUGGAAUCACAUGAUUUAAAAGUGGAAUAACUUCUUCAUCCCAACUCCUAUGAAAUUUAUUCAACUUCCUGGUCAUUCUCCACCACUUUAUUUAUCAAAAUCAUGCUUCUUACAAAGUGUUUCAUCCUUCUUUGAUUGUAACGACGAAGAAGCUGUCCUAUUCCCAAACUGGGAAACUGGAAUCACCUGAUUUGAAAGUGAGAUAACUUCUUCAUCCCAAAUCCUAUGAGAUUUAUUCAACUUCCUCGUGAUUCUCCACCACUUUAUGUAUCCAAAUCAAGCUUCUUACAAAGUGAUUCAUCCUGCUUUGAUUGGAACGACAAAGAAGAUGAUCUAUUCCCAAACUGGGAAACUAGAAUCACCUGAUUUUAAAGUGGAAUAACUUCUUCAUCUCAACUCCUAUGAGAUUUAUUCAACUUCCUGGUGAUUCUCCAACACUUUAUGUAUCCAAACGAAGCUUCUUACAAAGUGAUUCAUCUUGAAUUGAUUGGAACGACGAAGAUGCUGUCCUAUUCCCAAACUGGGAAACUGGAAUCACAUUAUUUGAAAGUGGGAUAACUUCUUCAUCCCAACUCCAAUGAGAUUUAUUCAACUUCCUAGUCAUUCCCCACCACUUAAUGUAUCCAAAUCAAGCUUCUUACAAAGUAAUUCAUCCUGGUUUGAUUGGAACGACGAAGAAGAUGUUCUAUUCCCAAACUGGGAAACUGGAAUCACAUGAUUUAAAAGUGGAAUAACUUCUUCAUCUAAACUUCUAUGAGAUUUAUUCAACUUUCUGGUGAUUCUCCAACACUUUAUGUAUCCAAAUCAGGUUUCUUACAAAGUGAUUCAUCCUGAUUUGAUUGGAACGACGAAGAAGCUGUCCUAUUCCCAAACUGGGAAACUGGAAUCACCUGAUUUGAAAGUGAGAUAACUUCUUCAUCCCAACUCCUAUUAGAUUUAUUCAUCUUACUGGUUAUUCUCCACCACUUUAUGUAUCCAAAUCAAGCGUCCUACAAAGUGACUCAUCCUGCUUUGAUUGGAACGACGAAGAAGAUGUCUUAUUCCCAAACUGGAAAACUCGAAUCACCUGAUUUGAAAGUGGGAUAACUUCUUCAUUCCAACUCCUAUGAGAUUUAUUCAACUUCUUGGUGAUUCUACACCAUUUUAUGUAUCCAAAUCAAGCUUCUUCCAAAGUGAUUCAUCCCGCUUUGAUUGGAACGACGAAGAAGUUGUCCUAUUCCCAAGCUGGGAAACUGGAAUCAUCUGAUUUAAAAGUGGAAUAACUUCUUCAUCCCAACUCCUAUAAGAUUUAUUCAACUUCCUGUUCAUUCUUCACCACUUUAUGUAUCCAAAUCAAGCUUCUUACAAAGUGAUUCAUCCUGCUUUGAUUGGAACGACGAAGAAGUUGUCCUAUUCCCAAACUGGGAAACUGGAAUCACCUGAUUUGAAAGUGGGAUAACUUAUUCAUCCCAACUCCUAUGAGAUUUAUUCAACUUGCUGGUGUUUCUCCACCACUUAAUGUAUCCAAAUCAAGCUUCUUACAAAGUGACUCACCCUCCUUUGAUUGGAAUGACAAAGAAGAUGUCCUAUUCCCAAACUGGGAAACUGGAAUCACCUGAUUUGAAAGUGGGAUAACUUCUUCAUCCCAACUCCUAUGAGAUUUAUUCAACUUCCUGUUCAUUCUCCACCACUUUAUGUCUCCAAAUCAAGCUUCUUACAAAGUGAUUCAUCCUGCUUUGAUAGGAACGACGAAGAAGCUAUCCUAUUCCAAAACUGGGAAACUAAAAUCACCUGAUUCGAAAUUGGGAUAGCUUCUUCAUCCCAACUCCUAUGAGAUUUAUUCAACUUCCUGGUCAUUCUCCACCACUUAAUGUAUCCAAAUCAAGCUUCUUACAAAGUGAUUCAUCCUGGUUUGAUUGGAACGACGAAGAAGAUGUUCUAUUCCCAAAGUGGGAAACUGGAAUCACCUGAUUUAAAAGUGGAAUAACUUUUUCAUCCCAACUCCUAUGGGAUUUAUUCAACUUCCUGGUCAUUCUUCACCACUUUAUGUAUCCAAAUCAAGUUCUUACAAAGUGAUUCAUCCUGCUUUGAUUGGAACAACGAAGAAGUUGUCCUAUUCCCAACAUGAUUUGAAAGUGAGAUAACUUCUUCAUCCCAACUCCUAUGAGAUUUAUUCAACUUCCUGGUCAUUCUCCACCACUUAAUGUAUCCAAAUCAAGCUUCUUUCAAAGUGAUUCAUCCUGGUUUGAUUGGAACGACGAAGAAGAUGUUCUAUUCCCAAAGUGGGAAACUGGAAUCACCUGAUUUAAAAGUGGAAUAACUUUUUCAUCCCAACUCGAACGACGAAGAAUUUUAAAGCCUGAAGAUUGGAAUUCGGGGCGAAUUCCGAUUAACAGGGGGAGAAUUGUAACACCCCAAAACCCAAAACCCAAAAAGUUUUGUGUAAAGGCCCGCUCUGUGGCCCAUUUUGAUUAAAACCCCUAGGGCUUCCUUGCCUCCCCUAUAAAAGCAAGCUCCCACCCUUCUAGUCCCUCAUCAGAAACUUAGAAGCGAAGCCCUGCAGAGAAUUCCCGGAGAUCAGAAGCCCUAGUCGUCGACUCUCUCUCUCUUUCCUCGCCGCCUCUUCUCUUUCUCUCUCCUCGCCGCGGCCCUUCCCUCUCUCUCUCCUCGCCGCACCUCUUUCUCUCUCCUCUCUCUCCACGCCGCCUCUCUCUCUCCUCGCCGUGAGCAGCCGCGAGUGGUGGUGGUAGCCGUGUGGUGUCGUCGACCUCAGAUCUCACCUCUCUUGCAUCUGAGAUCCAGAUCCAGAUCUAGGCUAAGGUGAGGUGUUCUACCCAGAUCUCUUUCAUGUUUUUUUAUAUUGUUGAAUGGGUUGCUAGGAUUGAUUAGAUCAUGUUUGUUGUUAGGAUGAUAGAUCAUAUUGCAUCAGGACUCUCAUACUGGUUAAGAACUUUACACGAACGGGUUUAAUGAUGAUUGAUGAUUGACUGAUUGUUUGAUGGGUUGAAGAUCUGUGGUUUGUGAUUGAGAGCUAGGAUGGUUAGAAAGAAAUGAACGUAGGAUCAUAAGAGAAUUGUUAACCGGUCUGGUUAGAUGAAUGAUAGGAUAUCUAUGGAUGAUUGUAAAAAGGAUUGAGUGUGACACCGAGAACGGGUGGCGUCUAAAAAGGAAAGUAAGAAAGAGUCUAAGGGUAAAAGAAAAAGGAAAUGAUAAGAAAAAGGAAAAGAUGAGAAAAAGGAAAUAAAGGAAAAAGGAAAGUUGAAUGAUUGAAAUACAAACCACCGAGGAACUGGUGGGGAGUAUGGGAAAUGAAUAGAAAUGGAAUACGAACCACCGAGGGACUGAUGGGGAGUAUGGGAAAACGCGGCGGCUGUAGCGUUCAAAAACGGCAGGUUAAGAAUAGAGGCGCCGGUAAGAUUGAGUCUCGCCGAGUCGUGGCGGGAAGGGGCCGUAAUACACUACAAAGGGGAUAGACUACCACCAAGGGAACCGGAUGCCGAGUGUACCAGGGCAGGCGGCUCCACAGGAACGCAGCAAGAAAAGGGGAGGGUUGGUCCGCUUGAGCUGUGUAGGUCCUAGAGUUAUAGGAUGAACAGAGUCUUAAAUAAUAAACCGAAAUGUGUGAAUUGAGCGAUGACUGAGUUCAUUGCACUGCUUGUUUUGUGAAAUGAAACUUUAAUAGUUAGUUAAGAAAUGGGUGUAGUGACUAGUCGGUUCUCGUUUCGCAUUGAGCGGUAUAAAAGCUCAUGGGGGAGACUGGUCUAGAAUCGCUUCACUGAGUAUUCAUACUCACCCGUCUUUUUCCCUCUCACUUUUGCAGAACUAUAAGUGGAAAUGUCGAUGGUAAGAAAAGAAACGCACCUGAAACUCAUGGGACCAGAAACAGGACACACGGAGAUGUCGGGAAAGUAGACAUGUGUGUCCUAAACCCCGCACCCAGGAACCCCGGUUGGAAAUGGCGAAGGGGCGGAUGUUUCAGAUUCAUCCUGGUUUGAAUGGAACGACGAAGAAGCUGUCCUAUUCCCAAACUGGGAAACUGGAAUCACCUGAUUUGAAAGUGGGACAACUCAUUCAUCCCAACUCCUAUGAGAUUAAUUCAACUUCCUGGUGAUUCUCCAACACUUUAUGUAUCCAAU
rnacentral:lncRNA from 1 species